GGGGCUGUGGGUUAGCCUGGUAUACUUGCGGCCUUGGGUGCCGUUGACCUCGGUUCAAAUCCGAGCAGCCCCA
rnacentral:tRNA from 2 species